CUCACAUAAUAUUCUCCCCUUCAAAUUUGUAUCUCGUCUUCACCCAAAAAUGAAAAAUCCACACCGCAGCAUCACAGCACAUCACAACAGACGAAAUCCCCAAGGUUUCGAUGGCCAUUGAUGAUUGGAGAGCAGCAUAGGAAUGUGACAGCUUUGUCUGGGCUAAAUUCCCUACUAGAUAGAAUCCUCUUGGGAAACUUCAUCUGCUCCUAAGUUACACAAUACACAUCAUAAGUUACUGCAAAAAAUCAAAACAAAUUUAGAUGAGGAUUUUGAGAAAUUUCAGCUGAUAUUUUUGUGUGACCUGGGUGCUUGUGACAAUAGAGAUCAAAUGGGUCAAUCCAAUAAUGUAAGCUAUGUCUUCCAAAGCUUAAUAGUUUUUUCUUUCAUUUAAUGUUUAUAAUUUUAUUUCAGGUUAACUUCCCUUGUAAAAUCAUAGUAAAUCUUCAAGAUAUUGAUGCCUUCCUCAGAUCCAAUUCUUUGCUGCUAUCUCUUUUGCAGACAACAGUAAAAUAGCUUCAACUCAAGAGGUUGUUGUGACUGCCACUGUUCCAAUUUAGGACAAUGCGACAUUGAUAGAUUUGAGGUUAAUCGCUCACCACCGUUAGAGUUGUUUGCAAACCGAAGAGAGAUUGCUGGGAAUUAAGACUGAUAAUUUGUAUAGAUGAAGGUAAAUCACGAGUGCAUAACUAGGCUCCCUUCUUUUCUGUAACCCCGUUUCCCUAACUAACCACUAAGCACUAACCAACGCCCGCCUGUGGUCACUCAUUUGACAGAAUGAUGAGACAGAAAUGUCUCAAAUGCUGCGACAAUCAGAAGGUUCACGAGUCUAAGCCGGAAAUCAACUGUGAUAAACGCUCUCGUAAUAACUGUUCCACAACCUUUCGCUCUUUUUCCGGUUUUUCUUAUUAACCAUGGCCGGGUUAUCUCCCUGGUCCAGUAAAUUAAGGAAGUGUCUUACCCUGACUUGAUUGUCUACAGUUUGAACUGAACUGGGCGGUUUGUUUAUUAAAUUUUAUUGUAAUAGUUUUAUAGUUUUUUAUUUAUUUUAUGUGUAAAAUAUUUAAUGUUUUUUCGU